AAACAUGUCUGGAGGGCAUUAUCUAGUCAGUAGUUUAAAUCUCUCUCAAGCUUCAUAAAGGUUCUCACCCUCUUUCUGUCUGAAAGUCUAAACUUCCACCCUCAGCUU